ACUCCUACGGGAGGCGAGCAGUAGGGAAGUUUACCGUCAAUAGGACGAAAGUACUGACGGAGCAAUGCCGCGUGAGUGAUGAAGGUUUCGUAAUCGUAAAGACUCUGUUGUAAGGGAAGGAAUAGCAAGGAUAGGAAAUAGAUCCUUGUCUGACGGUACCUUACCAGAAAGACCACGGCUAACUACGUGCCAGCAGCCGCGGUAAUACGUAGGUGGCAAGCGUUAUCCGGAAUUAUUGGGCGUGAAGCGCAUGUAGGCGGCUUUUUAAGUCUGGUGUGAAAGCCUGUGGCUCAACCACAGAAUUGCAUUGGAUACUGGAAAGCUAGAAUCUUGGAGAGGUAAGUGGAAUUUCAUGUGUAGCGGUGGAAUGCGUAGAUAUAUGAAGGAACACCAAUGGCGAAGGCAGCUUACUGGACAAGUAUUGACGCUGAGAUGCGAAAGUGUGGGUAGCAAACAGGAUUAGAUACCCUGGUA
rnacentral:rRNA from 1 species